GGGUUGUGAGGUUAAGCGACUAAGCGUACACGGUGGAUGCCCUGGCAGUCAGAGGCGAUGAAGGGCGUGCUAAUCUG
rnacentral:rRNA from 1 species